CUACGGGGCGCUGCAGUGAGGAAUUUUUCACAAUGGACGAAAGUCUGAUGGAGCAAUACCACGUGAACGAUGAAGGUCUUCUGAUUGUAAAGUUCUUUUAUUUAGGAAAAAAAGCGUGCUAGGAAAUGAGUGCGCCUUGAUGGUACUAAUUGAAUAAGUGACAGCUAACUAUGUGCCAGCAGCUGCGGUAAAACAUAGGUCACGAGCAUUAUCCGGAUUUAUUGGGCGUAAAGGAAGCGUAGGCGGGGAGGUUGAUCCAUUGUUAAAAGCAUUUGCUUAACAAAUGCGUGCAUUGGAGAUCGCCUCCCUAGAGUUAAUCAGGGGGUACUGGAAUUCAAUGUGUAGCGGUGGAAUGCGUAGAUAUAUUGAGGAACACCAGAGGCUAAGGCGAGUACCUAGGAUAUAACUGACGCUGAGGCUUGAAAGCGUGGGGAGCAAAUGGGAUUAGAUACCCCAGUAGUC
rnacentral:rRNA from 1 species